GGGCUUCGGCCUGGCGGCGAGUGGCGAACGGGUGAGUAAUACAUCGGAACGUGCCCAGUAGUGGGGGAUAGCUCGGCGAAAGCCGGAUUAAUACCGCAUAUGACCUGAGGGUGAAAGCGGGGGAUCUUCGGACCUCGCGCUAUUGGAGCGGCCGAUGGCAGAUUAGCUAGUUGGUGGGGUAAAGGCCUACCAAGGCGACGAUCUGUAGCUGGUCUGAGAGGACGACCAGCCACACUGGGACUGAGACACGGCCCAGACUCCUACGGGAGGCAGCAGUGGGGAAUUUUGGACAAUGGGCGAAAGCCUGAUCCAGCAAUGCCGCGUGUGUGAUGAAGGCCUUCGGGUUGUAAAGCACUUUUGGCGGGAACGAAAAGGACUGUGCCAAUACCACGGUUCGAUGACGGUACCCGCAGAAUAAGCACCGGCUAACUACGUGCCAGCAGCCGCGGUAAUACGUAGGGUGCAAGCGUUAAUCGGAAUUACUGGGCGUAAAGAGUGCGCAGGCGGUUUUGCAAGACCGAUGUGAAAUCCCCGGGCUUAACCUGGGAACUGCAUUGGUGACUGCAAGGCUAGAGUGUGUCAGAGGGAGGUGGA
rnacentral:rRNA from 1 species